rnacentral:rRNA from 1 species
CCUACGGGAGGCAGCAGUAGGGAAUCUUUCACAAUGGGCGAAAGCCUGAUGGAGCAACGCCGCGUGCAGGAUGAAGGCCUUCGGGUUGUAAACUGCUUUUAUAAGCGAGAAAUAUGAUGGUAACUUAUGAAUAAGGAUCGGCUAACUACGUGCCAGCAGCCGCGGUCAUACGUAGGAUCCGAGCAUUAUCCGGAGUGACUGGGUGUAAAGAGUUGCGUAGGUGGCAUAAUAAGUAGCUAGUGAAAUCUGGUGGCUCAACCAUUCAGACUAUUAGCUAAACUGUUAAGCUCGAGACCGUUAGGGGUAACUGGAAUGUCUAGUGUAGGAGUGAAAUGCGUAGAUAUUAGAAAGAACACCAAUAGCGUAGGCAGGUUACUGGGACGGUUCUGACACUAAGGCACGAAAGCGUAGGGAGCAAACGGGAUUAGAUACCCGAGUAGUC